AUCCAGUUGACGAGUCCCAAAAAAGGACGAAACGCUUCCUGGAU
rnacentral:hammerhead_ribozyme from 1 species